rnacentral:tRNA from 1 species
UCCCUGGUGGCUCAGAUGGUAAAGCGUCUGCCCGCAAUGCAGGAGACCUGGGUUUGAUUCCUGGGUGGGGAA